rnacentral:lncRNA from 1 species
GUGAAUCACAUUAAGAUUAUGGCAUUAAUAUACCUGUGGUCCUAACAAAAAAUGUGUCAUAUCAUAUCUAUUUGUAGGACCUUCAAUAUUUGAUUUGCAAUUUUCCAAUCUAAGAAUGUGAAGAAAACUCAUAAUUAAGCAGCAAGUGCAAGGAUUUUGCAUCUUCAACGUCUUUAACUUCUCCACCUAUCAUUCCAGUGGCACCAGGGAAUGAUGGUAAUGUUAUGAAAGGUGAAGGUCCAUUAGUUUUGGUAAACCACUGCAAGUCCCUAAUAAGUAUCUGCAUCCAAUUGUCCUAUAUUGAAAUUCAAUUAAGACAUUUGCUUCAAAACAAAGGGAGCAUAUAUCAAUUUGUUAAGUUGCAAAUUAUUUAUUGGAAUCCUAAAGACCACAAAAGUUCCCUGAGUAUUAAGUUUCAUUCUUGUCCUUUACGUAUUAUUAGAUUUUUUAUUACUACGUGUUGUUUCUUUAGCCUCGACUAUUGUACUAUCUUAUUGUAGUUCUUUGCUUGUUGCUAAUGCUUUCUUUUAUAUCUUUUUUUUGAGCUGAGGGUCUACCAGAAACCACCUCGCUACCUUCUUAAGGUAGGGGGUAAAGUUUGCGUACACUCUACCUCCCUAGACCGCAGUUGUGGAAUUACACUGGGUUUGUUGUUGUUGUACAGAGCACAAAAGAAAGAGCUUGAAGGCUGUGGCCUUGAUAUAGAUGCAGACAUUCUAAUUCAAAAGAUCACUCUACAAUUUUCAGUAUGGCUAAUCAUGUCUGAAAAUUUGUGGUGAAUACACCUUGACAGCAUCUGAUCAAUGUCAAGACACACCGGAAAAUAUAUGGUUGGCUUUUGAGGUAGUCUGAAAUGGACCAAGUAAUGUAGAAGAAAUAAGGUCAUGUGAGAUGGAUGCAGAAAAUCAACAUAUUUCAAGAACUUAUGCUGCAAAUGAUAAAAGCGUGAUACAAGAGAUGAAACGAGCUUGCAAGUAAAAUUAACAAAGAGAGAAAGCAUAGGAGAAAUAAAUUGCACACAUUUUCAUUGAUUACUUUCAAGGAGAAUGAACUCGGUAUCUAGUGAAAAUUUCAUGGAAAGAAGCCAAAGCAUAUCCGAAAAGGAAUGCAGAAAAUGACACAGAAGACAAAUGAGAUAUAACUCAAGAAAAGAAAGCGGAACAGAGAUGCAAGAAGUUAGAGAUUAAGUUCGGGGCACUAAUAAAGCAGUCGUACUGUGAACCAUUGUCACUCGUCAGGCUUCGCAAUAUAAUUGACCUGAAGGAGCUCCAGGGGUCUCUACUUCCACUGUUGUGUAGUUCUGCGGAUAACUUGAAUACCAGAAUGUCCUUUCCAUCCCUCGUUCAAUCUGAUAUAUCGGCCACUCAUACAAUUGAGAAAUAUAUCAUGUCUUGUUGGAAAUUGCUUUAAGUUACUGCACUAGUUUUAGCAAAAUAAAUUAUUUAGAUUAGGAUGAAUUUGAAUUUUGAAUUUAAGUUAGGUUGUUUGAUUUGUUGAGAUUUUUUAGUUAGUUUGAAUUUUGAAUAUUGCUGAUUUUUCUAUUGUAAGGUGGUUAUUUAAAGCUCCUCAGUGCUUAAUAAAAUCAUUGAAAGCUAUUGAAAGAUUUCAAUCGAGUGAGAGUCAUUUUAACUCCUUUUCGC